rnacentral:tRNA from 1 species
GGGCCCAUACCCCAAAUAUGUUGGCGAAACUCCAUCUUUUACUA